ACUGAAGACUUUUCUCCCAAGGUACACCCAAUGCCUUAUUUCAUUCUUAUGAAGAAGUGAGAAAAUUAUUAUAUUUUCUACACUAUAAUUACACUUGUACAUUAUAAUUCAAUAAUUUUAGAAAAAUAAUCAUAUCAAUUUUAUAUUAUUCUUCUCACAUUACCCUGGAGUAGUGGUUUUCUUAGGGGCAAGAACCUACAUAUUUUUUGUUCCUGUGUUUCAGGUUAUGAAAUCUUUGUGUAACAGAAACUGUUUUUUCUUCCACAAUAAAAUAUUAAUUAAUUAGUAAAUGUCAACCAUUUAUUUCAUAGUCAAAAUUUAGACUUUUGACUCAAACUCCAUAAAAAAAUUGUGGCCUUGAUAGAAAUGCUUUUACUGUCUGUUACAGGUAGUUGAUUUUGAAAGUUGGA
rnacentral:misc_RNA from 1 species